AUUUUUCCAAUGUAAUCAUAGCACUCGUGUCUCAUUACAGCGCUAAUGAAAUUUUAAAAUGUCUCCUGUAACACAUCUACAAUACGUAUAGCUAACAUAGAAGUUAUGUAUAAUGUAUAGUAAGUGUUAAAAUACUUUCGUGAGCCACUGUACGUUAGGUAACAUAGUAGAAAAUUUCCAAAAUGGAACGUAUGCUUCUAGCUUUAGUCGUUUGAGCGCUGAACUGUUUGGUAAGGUAUAACUUGCAUUUCCUUUGCAUUUAAUCCCGUCAAUUACAUAACAGAGCUGCGAUGACCGGAAGCGCUGCUUAAGAAGCGUCAGCCAAAGAGUCAAAGGUAUUUCUAUGAAGCCCUUAGGAUUGCAGGGUUUACACAUCACAAUAUUAUGAUAUAUCGUUUCCUAAUAAAGAAACGUAACAUGUAUCGUAUAACAAUCGAAUUCGUGCUGCAAAAGAACAUUCGUUUCUCCUUUUUUUUUUCAGUUUCUUUCAAUAUAUUGUACCUUAAUAUAAAGGCAACAACGAUAAAAUGAUUGUGCAAUACAAAUAUAUAUAUGUUAUAUCUCAUCGAACUUCGAUAUUCUUUAACUUUGCUUUUCUUGUUCGUCUCUUUUAAAGAAUACAACGAAGAAAAUAUUCCCGCUGAAGUUUGGAACUGAAAGUUCUUACGAGAUCACAGGAAAUUACGAUUUUACAAACGGCGAUCACGAUAAACAAUCGACCCCAUUUUUAUUUGGACAAGAUGAGAAACGCUCGAGAACAUUCAACGCAGUGGAUGAAAAAAGAAGAAACGAAAUGAAAAGAAAACGGGUUGGUCAGGCAAACGAACCAUCGUCAACGGAAUUCGUUCGUCACAUUUCUUUUUUCUUUUCUCUUUUUUUCGUGCAAUGGUCUUUGUUCCUUCGCAAUAGGAAAAACAAGAACAAAAUAAAAAUGAUUGUAAGAUA